UGCAAGUCGAGGGGUAGUUAUCUUCGGAUAAUGAGACCGGCGCACGGGUGCGUAACGCGUAUGCAAUCUACCUUGUACAGAGGGAUAGCCCAGAGAAAUUUGGAUUAAUACCUCAUAGUAUAUUUGAAUCGCAUGGUUUAAAUAUUAAAGAUUUAUCGGUACAAGAUGAGCAUGCGUCCCAUUAGUUAGUUGGUAAGGUAACGGCUUACCAAGACAAUGAUGGGUAGGGGUCCUGAGAGGGAGAUCCCCCACACUGGUACUGAGACACGGACCAGACUCCUACGGGAGGCAGCAGUGAGGAAUAUUGGACAAUGGGCGCAAGCCUGAUCCAGCCAUGCCGCGUGCAGGAAGACGGUCCUAUGGAUUGUAAACUGCUUUUGUACAGGAAGAAACACUCGUACGUGUACGAGCUUGACGGUACUGUAAGAAUAAGGAUCGGCUAACUCCGUGCCAGCAGCCGCGGUAAU
rnacentral:rRNA from 1 species